CGCCUGUUUAUUAAAAACAUGGUUUUUAAUUUAUAAUUUAUUAAAAAUUAAACCUGCCCAUUGAUUUUUUUAAAUGGCCGCAGUAUUUUGACUGUGCUAAGGUAGCAUAAUAAUUAGAUUUAUAAUUGAAAUCUAGAAUGAAUGGUCUAAUGAAAUAAAUUCUUUUUUAAUUUUAUUAAAUGAAUUUUUUUUUUUAGUUAAAAAACUGAAAUAAUUUUAUGGGACGAGAAGACCCUAUAGAAUUUUAUAUUAAUUAAAUUUAGUAUUAAUUUAUAAAUUAUUUAUAAAAUUUAUUAAAUAUUUUAUUGGGGUGAUAAUUAAAUUUAAUUAACUUUAAAUUAAAAUUUCAUUGAUUUUUGUUUAUUUGAUCUUUUUAUAUUGAUUAAAAAUUUAAAUUACCUUAGGGAUAACAGCAUAAUUUUAUUAAGAAGUUCUUAUUUUUAAUAUUGUUUAUGACCUCGAUGUUNAAUUAAAU
rnacentral:rRNA from 1 species